rnacentral:rRNA from 1 species
UGGGGAAUUUUGGACAAUGGGCGAAAGCCUGAUCCAGCAAUGCCGCGUGUGUGAAGAAGGCCUUCGGGUUGUAAAGCACUUUUGUCCGGAAAGAAAUCCUUGGCUCUAAUACAGUCGGGGGAUGACGGUACCGGAAGAAUAAGCACCGGCUAACUACGUGCCAGCAGCCGCGGUAAUACGUAGGGUGCAAGCGUUAAUCGGAAUUACUGGGCGUAAGCAGUGCGCAGGCGGUUUGCUAAGACCGAUGUGAAAUCCCCGGGCUCAACCUGGGAACUGCAUUGGUGACUGGCAGGCUAGAGUAUGGCAGAGGGGGGUAGAAUUCCACGUGUAGCAGUGAAAUGCGUAGAGAUGUGGAGGAAUACCGAUGGCGAAGGCAGCCCCCCUGGGGCCAAUACUGACGCUCAUGCACGAAAAGCGUGGGGAGCAAAACAGGAUUAGAUACCCCUGGGUAGUCCCACGCCCCUAAAACGAUGUCAACUAGUUGUUGGGGGAUUCAUUUCCUUAGUAACGUAGCUAACGCGUGAAGUUGACCGCCUGGGGGAGUACGGUCGCAAGAUU